UUUGUGGUUCUUUUUACUUUUUUAAGUAGAGAUUAAUAGGGAAACAGGUGAGAAUCCUGUACAGACCCACUACUGUAUUCGUUAAAAGGCGUAACAUAUAAGCCACUUUUGAUUCUGCAUCAAUGGGAAGGCGUUAUUGCUAAGUAAGUCAGGAGACCUGCCAUAAAUGUUAA
rnacentral:ncRNA from 1 species